AUAGGAUCUCCACAAUACCACAUUAAGACAUCAUUUUGGUGCUUAGACAGGGCUCGUGCUUCCAUGAGGUGGCAUAGGCAACCUUUAAAGGGUGCACGGGCAGGGAGUACAAUGUCUGGAGACAGACAGGAUGGGGAUGCACAGAGGACACUGGUUACUUUUCAUGGUAUGACGUCUACUCAGUCUGACAGGGAGCUGCAGACUGUGACUGGAGAGGGUGGGGAAUGAGCAGCGAGUACUUUCUUGUCAGAGCCUGUAGAUUUUUAGCGCGGUUUGUGAGGCCAUGCUACCAAGAUCAGUAAAAUAAUUUAAAAGUGGGGGGUUUGAGACACAAGGUGGGGAGUAAAAUACACAAGAUGGGGGAUAAGAGACAAAAAGGGGGAAGUAAAACACAAAAAAGGGUUUAAGAAACACAAGGAGAGUAAAAGACAAGGCAGUGGAAGAAGCACAAAAAGGGGAUAAGGGGACACUAAGCGGGGAUAGAGACACAAAAAGGGGGGAAAAGAUAUAGCACGGGGGUAAGACCUUUAAAUGGUGGAUAAGAAACACAAGAGGGUGUAAGAGAUAAAAGAGGCAGAAAGAGGCUGCAAAGGAGGAUAAAGAUGCAAAAGUGUGAAUAAGAAUAACUUUGAUAUCAUUAGAACUACAAUUGUGGCAACAUGUGUUUGAAAUAUAAAGCUUUAAGUAUUUAGAUGUGGGUUUCAUGCUAAAACCUCUAAAC